rnacentral:rRNA from 1 species
AUUGAACGCUGGCGGCAGGCCUAACACAUGCAAGUCGAGCGGAUGAGUGGAGCUUGCUCCAUGAUUCAGCGGCGGACGGGUGAGUAAUGCCUAGGAAUCUGCCUGGUAGUGGGGGACUACGUUUCGAAAGGAACGCUAAUACCGCAUACGUCCUACGGGAGAAAGCAGGGGACCUUCGGGCCUUGCGCUAUCAGAUGAGCCUAGGUCGGAUUAGCUAGUAGGUGAGGUAAUGGCUCACCUAGGCGACGAUCCGUAACUGGUCUGAGAGGAUGAUCAGUCACACUGGAACUGAGACACGGUCCAGACUCCUACGGGAGGCAGCAGUGGGGAAUAUUGGACAAUGGGCGAAAGCCUGAUCCAGCCAUGCCGCGUGUGUGAAGAAGGUCUUCGGAUUGUAAAGCACUUUAAGUUGGGAGGAAGGGCAGUAAGUUAAUACCUUGCUGUUUUGACGUUACCAACAGAAUAAGCACCGGCUAACUUCGUGCCAGCCGCCGCCGUAAAAC